CAAAGUGCACCGCCGUUGCACAUGACCUGCAGGUUCACAGCUGUGAAUCACAGCACUCACUGCUUUCUUCAUACAUUUGAACUAUCCCUGAAUGACAGGUACGAAUUCAUAGCAAAUCCUAACAUGACCGAUGCAACUCAGCCAGCAACUCUUACCAUGGAAAAGGGUCCAACAGUCUAACGUCAGAAAAAAUGGACACACAAAUGUUAAGCGCAUGUAAAUGUACCACAAUACAGCCACUAUUGUCUUCUUAUUAAAGCGCUCAAUCCUCGCCUCCGCUGAUGUCAUCUUCACGAACGACGGCAUAUAUCUGCAUAUGAAAGGAUCACAACAAAUCAUUGUUUAGGCAGGAACACAUAGUUGUGAGCAUGUUACGUACAAUGACGGCUGUAGGUGUGACACCGGCAUAACGUGCCUCGAAAUAAGGCAAUAAAAAGCAUUUAGUUAAUAGCCAUGGUCUUGCAACCAGAGGCUUCAUACCUCCGAACGGCCGCUACGUGGCCUGCCACGUCCCGUUUGAGCCCGACUCUUGUUCAUAUCCUUACCACCAUCCUUGCGCUUGUCCUAUUCCUUGCGGUUCUCCUGCUCGUGUCCUUGGAAUGUAAAAUGACAAGGCAUAAUGUCAGUGUAUGCACCUGCAUGAUGGCCACUUACUGCCGGUGCCGUCUAGUCCCCCUUUUCCUGCUUUCCCCUGCUUGCCUGCGAAUGAAUGGUACGCCAUUAUAGAGGAAGAAAGACAGAUUCUUGUUAUGAAGAUGCUAAUUCAUUAGGCUUUACCUUACACUGUCGUCAUUGGAGGAUCAGCGUGAGUAUAAGCAAUGCAUACGCGCUAAACAACAAAUUCAAGAUAAUCUUAUUAGUGCAAUGCGCGCAAUGAAUUACUGCCCUGAGGACACGGGCAGCACUGGGCCUUACGCCCAACUUACUCCCAACUCCCAACUAACCCUCUUACUUAACGCAAGCUCGCAUAAGUUGUUGCGCCAGAGAUAAAUGCCAAAGGAGAAGAUACCCCCUCUAACGGUUGAAAUACUGAAC
rnacentral:lncRNA from 1 species